AUUUUUUUUAUAUACACAUACAUACAUACAAACAUACAUAUACUUUUAAAUAUAAUGAGUUGAAAACAUACAUAUAUAUAUUACUACAUACAUCACACAGACAUAUAUGUUGUUGUUAUGUGCCAUCAAGUCAAUUUGACUCAUAGUGUCUAUAUAGGAUAGAGCGGAGCUGCUUCACAGGGUUUCCUAGACUGUAAAUCUUUAUGGGAGCAGAUUUCCAGGUCUAUUCUCCCUUAAAGCUGUUGGUGGGUUUGAACCACUGACCUUUUGGUUACCAGCUGAGUGCUUAAUCAUUGCAGCACUAGGGCUCCAUACACACACACACACACACAUACACACACACUUUUUUUUUCAGCAUUUUAGUUGACUUUUUUUCUGGAGAAUAGUCUGGGUAUAUGGUGCUGUUAUUAACGAAAGCUUAGACCUCUUAUAGCUAUAUUUCACUUCCUCUGUAAAGUCAUCAUUCCUCACUAAUUUCUGUGUCCUUAGUGAGUGGCUCCAUUACAAGCUAACAUCAUCAUAACCUUCUGGCAAUGAGUCAGCUAGUGGAGAAGUAAAAGGAGAAUUAUGCUUGUAUUGGCUUAUCACCUACAUUUUAAAGUAGAUAUUUUCAUCUCCUGACUUUAACAAAAACAAACAAACAAAACUUUUCUGUAUUUAACAAACAUAGUGUUAGCUGUGUUAGUAUUCAUUUCUAUCUUUUCAGAUAUUUUUUAAGUAUUAUCAAUGUUUUAGCAGGGGAGGUGCUUGGACUUCCCUCAAUGUCAGAUCUGAUUUGCUGUUUCCCAUUAUUGUUCUCACUUUUCACUGUUUCUAUACCAAGGAUCUGCUUUAAGGCCGUUGACACAACACAAAACUCUAGCACAGAGAUGUUUUCCAGGCUAUAAGGCUCCACCAAACUCCAGGUUUUGCCUCCUACAGAAGACUGUAUGUGUCUUAUUUAGGCAAAUACCACCUGCCUUGCUGGCUCUGAACGUUGUCAGUUUUGGGAUUGACCUUCUCUGAGGUAAAAAUCUGCAGCCCAUUUUUCUGAAAGGUGUUGGCCACACUUAAGAGAGUUAAGAUUUGAUAAUGACCAAAAUUAAGUCAUUGUCGGUCAGUGUCCCCAGGCCUCACAUGGAAGGCAUGAAGAGAACACUUGAUACUGUCCAGUCUUAGGACUCCAGCCCUGGCCCAAAGGUGCAGGUGCUUGAGAAAUCCUGUAUAUUGUGGGAGGGUGAGAGGGGAGACCAUCUGCUACACUCUCAAUCUUGUGAGACUGCUACCCACUCAAUCUUGUGAGACUGGAGUGGUAGGAUGGAGCUUUACUACUUGCUUUUUCCUGCAAAUCUCACUUUUGCAUCUGUUUCUAUGUCUAAGUUACAAGUUGUGCCUUGAUAUCUUAUCUAUUGAACAAUUUAUUCCAAAUUUGGGGGACCAAGUUUUUUUUUUUUUUCACUUUUUUUCUUAAUUGUAAUUUAGAUGAAGUUUUACAGAGCAAACCAGCUUCUCAUUAAACAAUUAAUAUACAUAUUAUUUUGUGACAUCGGUUGUUAACCUCACGAGAUGUCAACACUCUCCCCUUCUUGACCUUAGCUUCCCUAUUACCAGUUUUCCUGUCCCCGCUUGCCUUCUCGUCCUUGCCCCUGGGCUGGUGUGCCCCUUUAGUCUUGUUUUGUUUUAUGGGCCUGUCUAAUCUUUGGCUGAAGGGCGAACCUCACAAGUGACUUCAUUACUGAACUAAAAGGGUGUCUGGGGCCAUAUUCUCAGGGUUUCUCCCUGUCAGACCAGUAAGUCUGGCCUUUUUUUUUGAGUUAGAAUGUUGUUCUGCACUUUUCUCCAGCUCUGUCCAGGACUCCCUAUUUUGAUCUCUGUCAGAGAAGUCCAUGGUGGUAGCCAGGCACCAUCUAGUUUGCUGGACUCAGUCUGGUAGCGGCUGUGGUAGAUGUGGUCCAUUAGUCCUUUGGACUAAUCUUUCCCUUGUAUCUUUGGUUUUCUUCAUUCUUUCUUGCUCCCAACAGAGUGAGACCAGUGGAGUAUCUUAGAGGACCACUCACAAGCUUUUAGACCCUAGAUGCUACUCACCAAAGUAGAAUGUAGAACAUUUUCCUUAUAAACUAUGUUAUGCCAAUUGAGCUAGAUGUUCCUCGAGAUCAUAAUCCUUGGGGGACCGAGUUUUAAGGAAGAGGAGAAAGCACUGGAUUUGAUCACUAUGUAAACCAAAAAUCAAUCCUGAUUCCAACUCCUAGGACCCUAUAGGACAGGGUAGAACUGCCCCACAGAGUUUCCAAGGUUGUAAUCUUUACAUAAGCAGAUGCCACAUCUUUCUUCCUGUAGAGUGGCUGGUGGGUUUGAAUUGCCGACAUUUCAGUUAGCAGUUGAGUGCUUAGCCACUGCGCUACCAGGUCUUCUUGGUCACUAUGUAGAAGGGUCAGAUUCUAGGUGAAAAGAUUUCCAUUCACAUAGAGUCACAGAUCAGAUUCCUUCCAGUCCCUGAGAUUCUGCUGAUCUCUAGCCUCAGCCUGUAUUUUGUGCGUCAUGUGCGUGGCCACCAGUUAACUUUCCAAUUAAAAAUAAAAGGAAGAAGGGAAAGAGGGAGGAGGGAAGGAAUGAAGAAAGGAAAUGAUUUCCUAAAGUUUUCUGCUAUUCCUGUUUAACUGACAAGUAUUUAUUGGUUGCUUACAAAGAAGCCACAUAAAGGCCAUGCUUCUGUAGAAUUCAGUUGUCCUUAGCCCGAAAUAUUUUUUCCAUUGCAUCCAUUCCACCAGUCCAUCCAAAUAAAACAGAAAUCUUGGUUAUCAUUCAUGUCUAGAUGGUGCAAACACUAUUUUGCUGUUGUUUGUUCAGUUAUCUUAAAGCAAUUGGUGGGCCCUAAAUUAAGUUUGAAUUUAAGAUCCUGAUCCAGAGCUGUCUCCUCUACUCAUGUUAUUUGUGUUAUAAUUUAUCCUAAAUACUCUACUAAAGGUAAGUACAAAUUAUCUUUAACAACUUAACGAAAAAAACAACAAAAAUGCUGUCAAAUGGCUUUUGACUCACGGCAAAGCCACCUGUGUCAGAGUAGAACUGUGCUUGAUAGUGCUUUCAAUGACUUAUUGUUCGGAAAUAGAUCACCAGGGCUUUCUUCCAAGGUGCCUCUCAGUGGACUUGAACCUCCAACCUUGGUUAGCAGCUGGACUCAUUAAAAGCUUGCACUUCCUGGGGACCAUUAACACCUUGUUUUUGUUGUGUGCCAUUGAGUUAAUCUUGACCAGGGGAGUGAAUUAGUCAAUGAGUGCCUUAUUCUAAAUCACUGCCUUAGAGUUACUUAGUCAUGUAUCAUUACUUGCUGUUGUUGUUAGGUGCCGUCGAGUCGGUUCCAGCUCAUAGCAGCCCUAUGCACAACAGAACGAGACACUGCCCGGUCCUGAGCCAUCCUUACAAUCUUUGUUAUGCCUGAGCUCAUUGUUGCAGCCACUGUGUCAAUCCACCUCAUUGAGGGUCUUCCUCUUUUCCGCUGACCCUGUACUUUGCCAAGCAUGAUGUCCUUCUCCAGAGACUGAUCCCCCCUGACAACAUGUCCAAAGUAUGUAAGACGCAGUCUCGCCAUCCUUGCUUCUAAGGAGCAUUCUGGUUGUGCUUCUUCCAAGACAGAUUUGUUCCUUCUUUUGGCAGUCCAUGGUAUAUUCAAUGUUCUUCGCCAACACCACAAUUCAAAGGCAUCAGUUCUUCUUCGGUCUUCCUUAUUCAUUGUCCAGCUUUCACAUGCAUGUGAUGUGAUUGAAAAUACCAUGGCUUGGGUCAGGUGCACCUUAGUCUCCAAGGAGACAUCUUUGCUCUUCAAUGCAUUGCAUUGGGUAAAUUUACGGCAAAGGACCUCUUUAAAGUGUUGAAGAGCAAAGCAUCAUUAUUAGUGAAACUGAAAUUAGUGAUAGUUAGGUUAGGAGGUUAAUUGGACAUGGUAAUACAGGAUCCACCUGUCUGACCUGAAUGAAGAUACCAGCUGGCCCAGUAAUGUGUGCCAGUGGAGCAGAACUCUAGGUUUGCACUCUGGGUCUACAGACUUCCUUCUCCCAGAGAUCAGGAUCAGACCAUAGGAUCUGACUUCAAGUCCCCUUUGGGGUAGGCACUCCAAUACAGGGGCUACAGGAGUCCCCUAUGAGAGACUCCUUCAAAGCUCUAGAGCGCUUGCAACUGCUGGUUAAUAAAACUCUUUACAUUUGCCAGAAAGUGAAAUUUCUUUCACUGCAACAACUCUCUAAGCAGAAGUGAGGUCCAGGGUGGAAACUAUUUCCUCCACACACCUCUGGCCCUUAGAGGUUACCAGUAUUCACCAAAGAGAACUUGACAUUUGUUGACCAGCCAGACUGACUGAUUUGCAACACUUCAGUUUUAUAUUUAUGCAUCUUCUUGUCUGCUUCCCUGGUAUCAGAAACUCUCUGGGAGCCAGGCUCCAGAGUACCCUAAUCUGCUGUGGUAUUAUGGUUCUGAAUUGACACAUCAUAAACCUUCCAAAAAAAAAAAAAAAUCCAGAAGGUUCUUUUGAAUUCUAUAAGUGACUAAUAACACUUUUUGUAAAAAAUGAAAAACAAAACCAAAGGAACAAAGUGCAUUACUCUUUCUCCUUUCCAAGGUCAUUUCCCCUUUGGGUGUGUCUUUCCUGUAUAUCCAGUCCUUUCCUACCAGCACUAUCUUCAGACCAAGAGAUAAUUAUUUCAUGCACAUAUUCACACGCAAAAUGAUGACACAUUUGUUUGGUGUUUUAGAAAACAAAAUAAAACAAAAAAAUCCCCCCAAACCCAUUGGGAAUUAUCUAGCCAUGAAUUAUGUUAUGGCCAAUGCAUCCAUUAUGUGUGUUUUUCAUCCGCAAGUCACCGUAUUAUUACUCUUUCUGAAUAGGCUCCCUAAUUAACUGUUGCAUAUUCUUUCCCUGAAAUCUUGCUGUGCUUUGUAGCAAAUAUGUAAAAAAUCUUUUGUUCUGAAAAAAGCCACCCAUUGAGUAGGAGUGUGAAUUGAAAUGUUAAGGUCACCAUGGAAUUCCACAGUUGUUCAGCUCAGUAAGAUCUGUGUGACAUCGCACUUUUGUUAAAUAUCUUAGGAAAACAAGGAGAGGCCAAGCUUGCUGAGUGACUGCCUCUAGGCCUUGAACGAACCUUUGUUUGCUGUGUGUCUAAAUUCUUUCUCUCUUUUCCAACAACAACCAAAGCAUAGAAACAUCUUCCAGUACCUUAAACUUAUUUUAUAUAAAAAAUGAGACUGGUUAAUCCAGUUCUGAGCGUAAACCAUUGACCUUUUCACUUUUGAAUAGCCUCUUCUUAGAGAUCUCCCUCUCCUUCAAUGUGUUUCUUCUAAAACACCGUUGAGGCAGAUGUCAGCUUUAUUUUUAAAUAGGAGGCUGUGGGUUUCUGGCAUUUUUUGUUUGUUUUGCUAUCAUAACUAUCAAUUUUAGUACCUAACUUUUCUUUAUCACCGAAAAAAAUAUGGGGCAAAAUUUACUCGGGAAUUUAAAAAUAUCAGGUAAAUAGACAUUGUAAAAAUUUAGGGUAGCUUGCUUAAUUUCAAAGUUGAUUUUCCUGGUAACAUUACGAUAUCUUUUUUGCACUUCUCAGGAAUGCCUAUUACUACUAGGUAGUAACUUUUGUUUUGUUUUAUUAAAAUACAUUAUUGGAUUAAUUUAUUAAAACAGUGUAACUGUGUUCUUGCACAAUCCCAACUUUGAUCUAAUAAUUUUUGUGCUCGUCUUGUUUCUAAAUGGUGCAGUGAUUAAGUGCUUGGCUGCUAACUGAAACGUAGGCAGUUCAAAUCCACCAGCUGCUCCACAGUCUGCUUCCAGAAAGACCACAGCCUUGGAAAUACCCUGUGGGCAGUUCUACUCUGUCCUGCAGGGUUGCUUUGAAGUGGGACCGAUUUAACAGCAAUAGGUUUGGUUUGUUUCUAAAUAUUAUAGAGAACGUAUCAUAGAUUCAAAGAAUUAGAUAUACCUAAAGUUCUAAAAAUUUUUUGGGGGUAGUAUUUUCUUAUUUUUCAAUGUUCAAAUUCUAUGUUUUUUUUUUGCUGAACAUUUUAUUGUGGUUUGGGUGAAAGUUUACAGAGUAAAUUAGUUUCUCAAUCAAUAAUAUACAUUUUGUUUCAUGACAUUAGUUUCAAUUCCUUCAAUGUUACAGCACUUUACCCACUUCCUUCCUGGGUUCCCCAUUUCCAUUCGCCCAUCUUUCCUGCCUCUUCCUGCCUUCUGAACUUUGUUUUUGAGCAAAUACUUCCCUUUUGGUCUCGUAUGGUUGAUCAUUUUGAGAAGCACGUUCCUCAUAGGUGUUAUUGUUCACUUUACAGGCCUGUCUAUUGUUUGGCUGAAAGGUGAUCUCCAGGAGUGAGUUCAGUUUGAAGGGUGUCUAAGGGCCGCAGUCUCAGGUGUUCCACAAGUUUCUAUCAGACCAGUAAUUCUGGUCUUUUUUUAUCAAUUUGAAUUUUGUUUUACAUUUUUCUCACCCUGUCUCCAGGACCUUCUACUGUGAUCCUGGUUAGGGUGGUUGGUAGUGGUAGCUGGGCGCCGUCUAGCUCUUGUCUCAGGUGAGUGAAAGCUGUGGUUCACGUGGAUCAUUAGUCCUUUGGACUACUUGUUUUCUUGAGACACUGAUUCUCUACAUUCUUUUUCGUUCUGGACGGGAAGAGACCAAUAGUUGUAUCUUAGGUGGCCGCUCCCAAACUUUUAAGACCCUAGUCACUACUCACCGAAGUAGGAUGUAGAACAUUGUCUUUAUGGCUUAUGUUAUGCCAAUUGACUUAGAUGUUUCCAGAGACUAUGGUCCUAAGCUCUCAAGCCCAGUGACUCAGUCCCUAGAAGUAUCUGGUUAUGCCUAAGAAGUUUGCAUAACUGUGCCCGUUGUGUGCUAUGCUAUAUAAGUGGAUAUACUUACUGCAAAUAAAAAUACGUAUGUAGAGUUAUCUUCUGCCCAACCUAUACAUGCUCAUGGGUGUAUAGUCAUCCCACACCUAUUUAGCAUACAUAUCAACCAAUUUAAAUUAUUGUUUGUUAUUACUGUUAUUGCAGGAUUAUGUAUGUAAUAGUAUUUACCAUUGUUACCUUUUACUCUUGUGUACCUCUCACUGUCUUCCUUUGCCUUGGUCAUGCUAUGCUGACUUCCCCCAUAUUCCCUUCACUUUUUUUUUUUUUUUAUCUAGUUAGUGGUUUUCCUUCCCUCCCCCUCUCACCCGUGCUAACCAUCAAAGAAUGUUUCUUUCUGUGUGUAAACAUUUUCUUGACUUUUUAUGAUAGUGGUCUCAUACAAUGUUUGUCCUUCUGUCAUUGACUUAUUUCAUUAAGUAUAAUGUCCUCCAGGUUCACCCAUGCUGUGAGAUGUUUCCAGGAUUCAUUGUUAUUCUUUAAUGUUGUGUAGUAUUUCAUUGUGUGUUUGUACCACAGUUGUUUAUCCAUUCAUUCAUUGUUGAAUAUGUUGUUUCCAUCUUUUUGCUAUAGUGAAUAAUGAUGCAAUGAACAUCGGUGUAUAUAUUGAUGGUUAUUACUUCUCUAGGAUAUAUACCUAGUAGUGGGAUUGCUGGAUCAUAUGGUCUUUUUAUUUCUAACUUUUUGAGGAAGUGCCAUACUGUUUUCCAUGGUGUUUGUACCAUUUUACAUCCCCACCAGCAGUGUAUGACUGUUCCAAUCUCCCCACACCCUUGUCUCAUUGUUGUUUUGAUUUGCAUCUCUCUAACGACAAACACUGGUGGCGUAGUGGUUAAGCGCUACCGCUGCUAACCAGAAGGUCGGCAGUUCAAGUCCACCAGGUGCUCCCUGGAAACCCUAUGGGGCAGUUCCACUCUGUCCUACAGGGUCGCUAUGAGUCAGAAUCAACUCGACAACAAUGGGUUUGGUUUUUCGGUUAAUGGCUAAUGACUGAGAGCCUCUCUUCAUGUAUAUGUUGACUGCCUGAAUGUCUUCUUGAUGAAGUGUCUGUUCAUGUCCUUUGCCUAUCGACAAGUUGGACUAUUUUUGUUGAGGUGUUGAAGUUUGUUAUAAAUUUUAGAGAUUGGUCCCUUGUCAUAUGUCAUUGCCAAUUUUUUUUUCCCAGUCUGUAGCUUCUCUUUUUACUCUUUUGAAGAAGUCCUUUCAUGUGCAUAAGUGCGUAAUUUUUAGGGGGUCCCGUUUGUCUAGUUUAUCUUCUGCUGUUUGUGCAUUUUUAGUUAUAUUCGGUAGUCUAUUUAUGCCAUAAAUUACAGCCCCUAGGUUUGGCCCUAUUUUUUCUUCCAUCAUCUUUAUAGUUUUAGGUUUUAUCCAUCUCGAGUUAGUUUUUGCUUAUGGUGUGAGGUAUGGAUUCUGUUUUGUUUUUCUGAAAAUGGAUAUUCAGUUUGUCAGCACCAUUUGUUAAAAAGACUAUCUGUUCCCCAUUUGAUGGAUUUUGGCCCUUCGUCAGCUGUCCAUGGGUAGAUGGAUUUACUUCUGGGUUCUCAAUUAUGUUCCAUUGGUCUAUGUGUCUCUUGUUGUACCAGUACUAGGCUGUUUUGACUACCUGGCAGUGUUAGUCAUCUAGUACUGCCAUAACAGAAAUACCACAAGUGGAUGGCUUUAACAAAGAGAAAUUAAUUUUCUCACAAUUUAGUAGGUUAAAAGUCCUAAUUCAGGGCGUUGGCUCCAGGUGAAGGCUUUCUCUUUCUCUCCGCUCCAGAGUAAGGUCCUUGGCCUCAAUCUUCCCAUGGUCGAGGAGCUUCUCAGACGCAGGGACCCUGGGUCCAAAGGACGUGCUCUGCUUCUAGUGCUGGUUUCUUGGUGAUAUGAGGUCCCCAACUCUCUGCUUGCUUCCCUUUCCUUUUAUCUCUCAAGACGCUAUGUUAUGCCAAUUGACUUAGACAUCUCUAGAAACGUUUAUCAAGAGAUAAAAGGUGAUGGAGGCCACAACCCAGGGAAAAUCCCUUUACCUUGGAUCAGGGAGGUGACCUGUGUAAGGGUGGUGUCACAAUCCCACCUUAAUCCUCUUAACAUAAAAUUAUAAUCACAAAAUGGAGGACAACCACACAUGGCCUAACCAAGUUGAUACAUAUUUUGGGGGAGGGGGCACAAUUCAAUCCAUGACACUGGCUGUAUUGUUCUGAGGUCAGGAAGCGUGAGGCCUCCUGUUUUGUUCUUCAGUAACGUUUUGCUUACCCAGGCCUCUUUCUUUUCCAUAUAAAGUUGAUGAUCAGUUUUUCCGUCUUGUUAAAGAAAUGUUGAUGGAAUCUGGAUCAAGGUUGUCUUAUAUCUGUAGAUCACUUUGAGUAGUAUUGACUUUUUCACAAUAUUAAGUCUUCCAUUUAUGCAGGUCUGCUUCGGUUUCUUGCUGUAGCGUUUUGUAGUUUUCUUUGUCUAAGUCUUUUACAUUCCUGGUUAGGUUUAUUCCUAAGUAUUUUAUCUUUUGGGGAGCUAUUGUAAAUGAUAUUGUUUUCCUGAUUUCCUUUUCAGAGCUCUCUUUGUUAGUGCAGAGGAAUCCGACUGAUUUUUGUACAUUGAUCUUAUACCCUGCCACUUUCCUGAAUCCUUUUAUUAGUUCCAGUAGCUUUCUUGCAGAAUCCCUGGGAUUUUCUAUGUCUAUGAUCAUAUCAUCUGCAAAUAUGGAUAGUUUUACUUCUUCCUUGCCAAUUUGAGUCCUUUUAUUCCCCUUUCUUGCCUUAUUGCUCUGGCUAGGACUUUCAGUACAAUGUUGAAUAGGAGGGGUUAUAAGGAGCAUCCUUGUCUGAUUCCCAUUCUCAAGGGGAAUUCUCUGAGUCUCUGUUGAGAAUAAUGUUGGCUGUUGGUUUUGUGUAUAUGCUCUUAAUUAUGUUAAGAAAUUUCCCUUCUAUUCCUAUUUUGCUGAGAGUUUUUAUCAGUGGUGGUGUUGGAUUUUAUCAAAUGCUUUUUCUGCAUCUAUCUGUAUGAUCAAGUGGUUCUUUUCAUUUGUUUUAUUUAUGUGGUGGAUUACAUUGAUUGAUUUUCUGAUGUUGAACCAUCCUUGUACACCUAGUAUGAAUCCCACUUGGUCAUGAUGCAUUAUUUUUUUGGAUAUGUUGUUGGAUUCUAUUGUCUAGGAUUUUGUUGAGAAUUUUCUAUAAUGGUCUAUAAUUUUCCUUUUUAGCGGUGUCUUUGCCUGGCUUUGGUAUCAGGGUUAUGCUUGCUUCAUAGAAUGAAUUUGGGAGUAUUCCAUCCUUUUCUAUGUUCUGGAAUAGUUUGAGUAGAAUUAGUGUCAGCUCUUCUCUGAAUGUUUGGUAGAAUCCCCUAGUGAAGCUGUCUGGGUCAGGGCAUUUUUUUUUGUUGGAAUUUUUUUUUUUUAUGACCUCUUUAAUUUCUCGUUUUGUUAUGGGUCUGUUCAAAUUUAUUACCUCAGUUUGAGUUGGUUUAGGUAGGUAGUGUGUUUCUAGAAAAUUUUCCAUUUCCCCUAGGUUUUAAAACUUGUUGAUGUACAGUUCUUCAUAGUACUCUGUUGUGAUUCUUUUUAUUUCAGUUGGUUCUUUUGUAAUGUCAUCCAUUUCAUUUCUUAUUUGUGUUAUUUGCAUCUUCUACUUCUUUUCCUAUGUCAAUUUGGCCAGUGAUUUGUUGAUUUUAUUAAUCCUUUCAAAGAAUUAUCUUCUAAUCUUGUUGAUUCUUUUUUAUACUUUCUCUGUUUCAUUUAUUUCUGCUCUAAUCUUUAUUAUGUCCUUUCUUCUGGUGAUGGUGGGCUUUUUUUUUUUUUUUCCUACUUUUCUUCUAUUUGUUGGAGUUGUAGGGCUAAGGCAUCAAUUUUGGUGUAUACUUCUCUUUUGAUGUAUGUGUUUAUUGCUAUAAAUUGACCUCUGAGCACUGCUUUUGCAUUGUCCUAUAGGUUUUGGUAUGCUGUGUUUCCAUUCUGAUUUGAUUCUCGGGAUUUUUUUUAUUUCUUCUAUUACCUAGUGCUCUUUAAGCAGACUGUUAUUCAGUUUCCAUGUAUUAUUUUUCCUUGUUCUUUCUGUUACUGAUUUCUAAUUUUAUAGCAUUGUGAUAUGUUAAGAUGCUUUGUAUUAUUUAGAUGUUUUUAAAUUCACUGAGGAUUUCUUUGUGGCCUAACAUAUGGUCUAUUCUAGAGAAUGAUCCAUGUGUGCUGGAAAAGAGUAUGUGCUGCUGUUGCAUGGAGUGUUUUGUGUGUCUGUGAGAUCAAUUUGGUUGAUUUUGUUGUUUAGAUCUUCUGCAUCUUUGUUGAGUUUCUUUCUAGUUAUUCUGUCCUUUAUCGAAAGUAGUGUGUUAAAGUUUCCUACUAUUAUUAUGGAGUUGUCUAUUUCUCUUUUCAGUUCUGAUAAGGAUUGUUUUAUGUAUUUUGGAGCUCUUUCAUUGGGUGUGUAGAUAUUUAUUAUGGUUAUGUCCUUUUGUUAGGUUGACCCUUUUCAUCAAUAUAUUAUUCCCUUCUUUGUCUCUUAUGCUGGUUUUUGCCUUAAAGUCUAUUUUAUCAAAGAUUAAUAUUGCUACUCCUGGUCUUUUUUUCAUUGCUGUUUGCCUAAUGUAUUUUUUCCAUCCUUUUAUUUUUAGCUUAUUUUUAUAUUUGUGCCUAAGGUAUGCCUCCUAUAGGCAAUGUGUUGAUGGGUUAAAUUUUCUUACCUAUUCUGCCAAGGUCUGUCUCUUGACCAGUGCCUUUACUCCAUUUACAUUCAGUGUAAUUAUCAUUAGGUAUGAAUUUACUGCUGUCAUUUUGUUGUCCUUUUUUUUGUGCUGUUGCUGAUUUCUUUUGUUCUGUAUACUUUUCUGUGUGACUUCUUUUUGUUUAUGGAUUUUCUCUUCUUUUCCUUUGUUGCUGUUGAUUUUGUGUGUUACUGAGUCUAUGUUUUUCUUCUUUUUUAUUUUGGUGAGAAGGUUUAUUAGUUUUCUUUGUGGUUACCCUGAAAUUUGCUUUUAUCUUCCUAAGUUCAGAACAGUCUUAUCUCUUGAUAUCAUCUUGAUUUUCUGUGUAAGAAAAUUCUAUAGCUAUACCAUUUAAUCCUCCUUUUUAUUUUUGAAGUUGUUGUUUACAGAUUGAUGUUUCUGGUUCCCUCUUUCCAGUCUUGUAGCUUUAUUUUAUUUUUGAAAAUUCUUUAUCUGGGUUGGUAUCUGGGCAAUGUCAUGUGUCUUAAUCUCUGGUUGUGGUCUGAUGUUGUUGGUUCUCUCUCUGAAGGACUUCCGUUAGUAUUUCUUAUAAGGUUGGUCAGGUUUUCACAAUUCCCUUAAUUUCUGUUUAUCUAGAAAUGUCCUAAUUCCACCAUCAUAUUUGAGAGACAGUUUUGCCGGAUAAAUAAUUCUUGGUUGGCAAUUUUUUUUUUUCAGGGUUUUAUGUAUGUCAUUCCAUUGACUUCUUGCCUGAAUGGUUUCUGCCAAGAAAUCAGAGUUUAGUCUUAUUCGUUCCCCUUUUUAGGUAAUAUUUUGUUUUUCCUGAACUGCUCUUAAGAUUCUUUCUUUGCCUUUGGUUUUGGGAGUUUGAUUACAGUAUGUCUUGGUGGUUUUCUCCUGGAGUCUAUCCUAUAUGGGGCUCAAUGGGCUUCUUGGAUGGAUAUCUGCCCAUCUUUCAUUAUAUUAGGAAAGUUUUCUGCCAGCAAAUCUCAAAAAAAUUUCUCUGUGUUUUUUUUUGUCUCUUCCUGUUUCAUAAUUACCAUCAUGCAUAAAUUACUACUCUUGAUAGUGCUCCCCAUAACUCUUAGGCUUUCUUCAUUGUUGUUUCUCUUUAUUCCUCAAACAGAUUACUAUCGAGGAAUUUUUCCUCUAUUUUGCUGAUUCUGUCUUCCUUUGAUUCAAUUCUACUCCUUUAUCCUUCCAAUGCAUUAUUUAUUUCUGAAAUUUUAGUGUUAAUCUUCUGGAUUUCUAGUUGCUGUUUUUGUAUGCUUUCUAAUUAUCUAUUUAUUUUGUCAUUUUGUUCCUGUGUUGUUUUUCUGAAUUCUUCUAGAGUUUUGUCUGUGCUUUUCUUGGUUUUGUCUAUGUUCUCACUGAUCUCUUUGAGUAUUCUAUACAUAAAAGUCUUUUGAAUUCCUUAUCAGGUUGUUCAAUUACCAUUUCUUCCUCAGAAUGGUUUUCUGACUUUUUAUUUUGGUCACUUGCUUUAACCAUGUUGUCCUGUUUCUUUAUAUAAUUUGAUAUUGUCUGUUGUCUUCAAGGCAUUAAGGUGUUAUAUUUAUUUAUUGAUUGUAUAUUUGUUUGCUUCAUUCUGAUUUUUUGUUUUGUUUUGUUAUAUAUGGGCUGGUGGGUUGCUGGUCUCAGGUCUAGCAGGACUGAAGUGUUUGCUACCUGUCUGGGUGAGCAGGCCAGUAGCUGGUAACGUGAGUGUGGGUCUCUCUUUGUUGUUUCAAGCUGGAUGGCAGGGCUGUCCACUCUGUCUCUUCUUGUUCACUGUAUUCAGGCAGUUUCUUCUUCCAAUCAGUUUUUGAUCUAGUUUUUUUAUUCUCUCAUUUGAUGCUCAGGGUUCCAGGAUUGUCGUCUAAACAGAUAGUCAUCUAUUUCACUUGGUUUCUUGGUUCUUUGCUGAAGAGGGAUGACAUGGUGUGUCUAACUAAGCUGCCACGUUGGCUGGAACACCCUCAAAUUCUAUUUUACCUGCAGCUUGCAAGCAAACAUUUUGGGGCAUCUUCCUAGAAAUAGCCAAAAUAAAUUAGAAUAAAUAAAAUAUCAGAUAAAAAAAUAUUUUUAAAGAAACUACUGGCUUCACCACAAAAAAAAAAAAAAACCUUUUUAAAAACAUUUAUCUUGUGGUAAAUCUAAUAAAAUUUAAAGUUAUUGAAAUCUAUGCAUAACUAAACCUACAUGCUGAAGCAGGUCCCACACACAACAUAGAUUUUGCAAUGUUCAAUGUCCAACUUUUAUGUCUUUUUUCAUAUCUUCUCUUGAAAGAUUUGAGGACAGAAUUGCAUUGUCAGCUGAGCACAGCAGAAAUAGCACAAGUUUGGGGAGUUGCACAAACCAGAGUUCUAAUUCUUGCUUACCUUUUAAUAGAUGGGGUGCUUUAGACAAGUUACCUAAUCUCUCUGAGCCUCUGUUUCCUUGCCUACUUAUAACCUUGUAAGAAAGACGAUUCAUUUAAAGCAUUUAUCAAAUUUAAAAUAAAUAGCUAUUAUGAUUUCUAUGGAAAAUAUAGAAGCAUGUCACUGGCUGUAGUUAACCUUGUAUCUGUAGGAUUUGUGUAGUUAUCCAGGUCCUUUAAGAAACACAAUUACUAUGCUAGUGGUAAAUUGUUAUUAUUGUUAGUUGCUGUCAAGCUGACUCUGAGAAACGACUCAUAGUGAUUGCAUGUACAACAGAGAAAAUCAUUGCCUAGUCCUGUGGCAUCUUCAUGAUCAUUGGUAUCCUUGAAUCCAUUUUUGCAGCCACUGUGUAUUUUAAGUGAAGGGGGCUCAUCUUCCAGUACUAUACUGAACAAUAUUCUGUUGUGAUACAUAAUAUUUUCAUUGGCUAAUUUUCAGAAAUAGAUUGACAGGCCUUUCUUCCUAGUCUGUCUUUGGAAGCUGAAAUCUGUCCACCAUGGGUGACCCCAACAGUAUUUGAAAUGCUGGUGGCAUAGCUUUCACCAUCAUAGCAACAGGCAAGACACCACAGUAUUACAAACUGACAGAUGGGUGGUCAAGUAGAAAAUUAAAAAAAAAAAAAUUAAAAGUAGUAAAUUAAAUUAGAUACCUUUAAAAGUUGCUUUAAUAUUGUUGAAACAAAUGCAUUUUACCUAGAAUUCCACUCUCUUGGUAGCACCUCUGCUUUAAUAUGAAGUGGAGUAUGUCUUUAUUUUUUAAUCUCUGAGAUGCUUUGUCCAGAUAGUAAAACUUCAGGAUUACUUUGGGUCUGGAUGCAUUGCAGAGCUGUGUAAGUUUGGAGCCAACCCUAAGGGUUACUAUUUGCUAUGAGGGUGAGGCCUGGUGACUGUCUUUUUGUGGUCCAAACAGAUUUUUUUUCAAGAGUCCCUUAGGGAAUUUGCUUGGGACAUGCUUUACUUUUUACUUUUUCUUUUUGGCUUAGAGUGGGACACUGAGAUCUCAAAAAAUUCUGUAUAAUAAUCCAAAUCAUAGAACAUUUCUAGGUGUUGAAUAUAAGCCAAAAGCAUACAAAUAUGAAGUAACAACAUGUAAUAAAACUAUAGCCUGCACAGAUUUUUAACAUUGUUUUCUGGUAGUGGCAGAUCUAAGUUAGAAGCAUUUUAUUAAGCCAUCUUUUACAAGCAGUGCUUUUAUUUUGAUUUAAUAUAGCUUCAUGAAAAAGUAUAGGGAGAAAAGAAGAGAUGAAAUUAAAUAUUUAGUUUAUUUUCAAUUGAAAGGGAGAUAAUUAUUUUCUUUUAAUUUUCAUUUCUUUAUCUUCUAAAGUUCCACGUAAACGUUGGUGAUUAUAUAUUAUAGCAAUUUGAGAAUCUUAAAAGUAGGCUAUGGAAUACAUGUAAGGCUCUUGUCUGCACCUACUACACAGUAAAUCAUUUUCAGAAUAGAUCUGGGUUCUUGACAUUUUUAUUAGUACAAGAUGAAGUAUAUGUAUCCAUAUCUGAAAAUACAAUCGAGCCUUUUUCUUUUAUCCCCUCAGGGUGUGGUGUUUCAAUAUCUUCCAAAGAAAUUAUAAGAAUGUGGAGUAAAGUAAGUUGUUGGCCAGUAAAUGUCCUAUAGAUGCCAAUAAUUUCAUUUUACUAGCUUAAGUGUUUUGAAAUGGAGAAAAUUGAAGUGAAAUCUCAUUUUCUACUCAUUGUGCCUUUGGGAGAUAAUUAUCACUUUUUAAGCAAUUUUGCAUUGCACUCUUAAAAAAAGAAAGGAUCUGAUGAGAAAUCAUUCAUUCAUUUAGAGGAAGGGCAUGCACCCUGGCUGUUUUUCUGGCCAUGCUGGUAGAUUUCUGCUGAUCCAUGCACACCCCUUUGCCCUGUUCACAUUAGGAAACAAUGACAUUUAUUUGUGAUGUGACCGAGGGCUGGGGGUGCAUUCUGCAACCACAGAACAAAAUGAAGCCAUUGACCUCAAUAUGGACUGAACCCUUUGACCUUGACCGCAUUAGUACUUUGACUAAUGUGGAAAAUUACCAGAAGCUUGCAUUUAGAAUUCUCCUGAAUCACAUGAUGUGACAGAAAGUACCAUUUAAACAUCAUUGUGAUUAAAAUGACCCUGUUUGGGAAAUAGAAUAUAGAAAAACAGUGUGUUAUUAAUUCAAUAUCAGUGUCUUCUACCAAUAAAUUAUUUAAUUAGCUAAAAACAACAAUAAUAAAACCUAAACCAAACCCUUUGCCGCUGAGUCGAUUCCAACUCAUAGCAACCAUGUAGGACAAAGUAGAGCUGCCUCAUAGGGUUCCUAAGGAGCGGCUCGUGGGUUCAAACUGCCAACUUUUUGGUUAACAACCGUAGCUCUUAACCACUACACUAACAUUUAUUGAGUGUUUCUUGUAUGCCAGUUGGCAUCUUCUAAGUCUUUGACAUUCAUUAUCUCACUUAACUUUCAUAAUGUCUCAUGGAAUACAUAUUAUUAUUAUCACUGCUUUACAAAGAAGAAUCGUAGGUUAAGACAAUAUUUUAAGGGCUAAAGAGUGGACAAGCCAGCAUGAGAUCAUUGAGGUCCGAUUCUGACAUCCACAGACCUAACCAAGUAGAUGGAUUGCCCCUUUCCUACACAUUUAUAAUUUCUAGGAGUUCUUGGGUGGUGCAAAAGGUUAAGUGAGGACUACUAAUUGAAAGGUUGGCAGUUGAAACCCACCCAGAUGUGCCUCAGAAGUAAGGUCUGGAGAUCUGCUUCUGAAAGGUCACAACCUUGAAAGCCCUAUGCAUCACAGUUCUGCUCUGCACACAUGGAGUCGUCGUCAUGAGUUAAAAUUGACUUGAGAGCAACUAACAAUAAUAGUAACAGCAAAUCCAAAUUCCAGGCAGGGCUUUUCACAAAGUAGGUGUUGAUUAACUGUUUGGUCAAGUGAAUAUUAUCAGAAAUGGAUUUGGGUGGUUUCAGCUUCAGGGUAGGAUUAAAGAUCUAGUGAAGUUCACUUUAUCAGUACCAGUUGCUUCAGAUAGAUUCCAACUUGUGAACUGCGCUCUAUAGCGCUCUAUAGGGAUUUCAUGGCUGUGACCUUUUGGACGCAGAUCACCAGAUCUUUUUUCCUGAGGUGCCUCUGGGUGUGUUUGAACUACCAAUCUUUUGGUUAGUAGCAAAUGGCUGAGCCCUUAACCAUUUGCACCAGCCAGAAACUCACUAUGCUCCAGGAUAAUUCCACACUCAGGGCUGCACUAGCCUCAGGAGUUAUGAACAAAACCGAAAACCCUUUGCCAUCAGGUCAAUUCCUACCCUUAGUGACCCUAUUAAAAAAAAAAAAAAUUUUUUUUUUUAGUGACCCUAUAGCUACCCCCAAAAGGGAGGUGCUGUUACUGCUCUAAUUUUGCAGGUGAGGAAUUUGAGACUCGGGAAUGUCUUCUCUAAAACCACUCUGCUGUUAAGCGGCUAAGCCAGAAUCCCAGGUCGGGUAUGUCCAAUCCCAGGGCGCUAAAUAGUAAACAUCAACCUAUCCCACUUUUAUCUCCUUUUGUCUACAGGGAAGAAACCUUCCCUUAAUUCAUUUUUUGACUCGUUACACCUGGAGUAGUGUUUGAAUAAAAUCUGAGAUUGAUGAAAAUAAUCUACUUCAUUCUGCUUACUUUUAAUACAGUAUUUGAAAUAUUAAUAUUUAUUUAUUACUUAGAACUAAGAGGAAGAAAAAGGUCUACAAGGAAAUCAUAAACAGCAUAGUGACAUUAUUUAUAAAAAAAAUAGUAGUUGUUUAUGGCAUAUUUUAGUAGCAUAAAAGUAUCCUAUUGCUCUAUGGUAGAAAGUGGUGAUUUGAGUGUCCUUGAGCUAUUUGGUUACUUUAACUUCUGUCAUAUUAAGCCUCUAUUUUAUGCCGAAAAAGGCAAUUUUUUUUUUUUUAGCAUACUCAACAGGAGUCUUAUGAAAAUUACUGAAUAAAAUAGGGACAGGAAAGCAAUCAGAAAACAAUUUUAAUUGAAUUGAAGAAACAUGCAAUGGGAAAAAAUAAAUUAAAGACUAUCCUAAAGAUCAUUCUAUUAGACAUUUAGACAGCCUAUCUUUAAAACUUUCAUGGUUUUAACCAAUUCAGUCAUAUUUUUAAGCCCAUUAUUAUAAACAACAACAACAAUAUAAAAACAGAUGAAAAUUCCAGGCCGGUACAGAGAUAUAAAUAUGGAUGAGAACAUUUCAUAUAUCCGAAAUUUGCUUUUUUGAUAAAGUCCCCUUUCUAGAACCUGUCUGAAAACCACAGAGUUUGUAAAUACAGUCUUUAUGGUUCAAAAUGAGAUUUUAGAGUCUGUGUAAACCAGGCCACAUUUUCUCCUCACAUGUCAAACACAAUUGUUUAUUUGCUUUCCCUAACUCACUACUUGUUAGAAGCAGAAAAUUAAAAAGAAGGCCUGGGCUAGUACUAAAAGCAAAUACAUAGUGUCUUAGUCAUCUAGUGCUGCUAUAACAGAAAUACCACAAGUGGAUGGCUUUACCAAAGAGAAGUUUAUUCUCUCACAGUCCAGUAGGCUAGAGGUCCGAAUUCAGGGUGCCGGCUCCAGGGGAAGGUUUUCUCUCUCUGUUGGCUUUGGAGGAAGAUCCUUGUCAUCAGUUUUCCAUCAGUCUGGGAACAUCUCAGGGCAGGGACCUCAGGUCCAAAGGACACGCUCUGCUCCCAGGGCUGUUUUCUUGGUAGCAAUAUGUCCCCACCUCCUACUAGCUUCCCUUUCGUUUUGUCUCUUGAGAGAUAAAAGGUGGUGCAGGCCACAUCCCAGGGAAACUGUCUUUACAUUGGAUGGGGUUGUGACCUGGUGAGGGUGUUGCAAUUCCACCCUAAUCCUCUUUAACAUAAAAUUAUAAUCCCAAAAUGGAGGACAACCACAGAGUACUGGGAAUCAUGGCCUAACCAAGUUAAUACAUGCAUUUUUGGGGGAACGUAAUUCAAUCCAUGACACAUAGUUAUCAGCAAACAGGACUUCAACAUAAGAAGAGGUUGAAAAAGAAAAUUAAAAACAUUUUUUAUUGUCAAACAUUAGGGAGAUGGCAGUAGAGUGCAGCUGUGAGUGCAAAAUCUCCAUCUAUCACUUGCUUCUUAGCUAUAUAAUUCUAGGAAAAAUAUUUAAGUUCUUAGAGUGUCCAUUUUAAUAUCUGUAAGAUGAAAAUAAUAUAAUUUGUGGGGUGAUUUUAGGGAUUAAGUGAAUUAACAUGUGUAAAAUGCCUGGUCAUUUUGUUUCAUUCUCAGGCCCCAAAGCACAUCUCUGUGUAUACUUUGAUAGCUUUCAUCACUCAGUGGAUCCUAAGGAGUCCCUGGGUGGCACAAAUGGCUAAGUGCUGGACUACUAACGGAAAGGUUGGUGGUUCAGACCCUCCCAGAGGUGCCUCGGAAGACAAGCCUGGUGAUCUGUUUCUGAAAGGUCACAGCCUUGAAAACCCUAUGGAGCAAUUCUCUUCUGCACAUACGGGGUUGCCAUGAGUCAGAAUCAACUUAACGGCAGCUAAUGACAGCAACAACAUCAACAGGUACUUGUAGUUUCUUUACAUUUUUGGUGUUGACUUUCCAGAGAACUCUUACUGGUAUCGGAGCUGAGAAGCUUUAAUUUAAAAGUUGUUUGGUACGUGUACAAUCAGGUCAUAAUGAAUUGGAUAAUAUAGGAUGGUUCAUCCAUAUUUUGGUAAAGCCUAAUGAACUGCCCUUGCUCACAGCAGUGAACACUUCUCUAGGGCUAGGAUUCACAAGUUUAAAGUCUGCCUUGUGGUGAGUAAUCAUCAGCAAAUUUUAUAUUUCUAACUUUUGUUGUACCCAGUUUCAAGCUGACCCAUGGUUUUCAGACAGGUUUUGAUGAGACUACAUUCAAGCCCUAGCCCUGCUAUUGCUGCCUUUUUCUUUUUAUUUGUUGGAUUUCAUGUCAUUUUAACCAAGGUAUAUUUACUUAAAAGGUGGUUCCUGCGUAUAGCUGCUUUCGUUCUUUAUGUUUUGUCUAACUGCUUUUAUUUUAGGGUUAGAGAUGCCUCUGUGCUCUCUCUAUUUGAAAAUAAUAGAGACAUUAAAUACUAAAUGUUGGAUCUGUUCACUAAGUCAUGUAGAGCUGCAGUACUGGGGUGAAGAGAGUUCACUGGUGAAGAAUGAGUAGACGGAUUAGUGAUGAGGCCAUGAGUUCAGAAGAGGUGAUGACUGCAUGAAGGAGCCCUCGUGGCAUAGUGGUUAAGCACUCAGUGGUUCGAACCCACCAGCUGCGUUGCAAGAGAAAGAUGUGGCAGUCUGCUUCUGUAAAGAUUACUGCCUUGGAAGCCCUAUGGGGCAGUUCUACUCUGUCCUGUGGGAUCACUAUGAGUCAUAAUUGACUCAAUGGCAAUGGGUUUGAUGACUGUACAUGAGGCUUGUGUUUGCAGCAUCAAGGCUAAACAAUAAUGGGAACAAAGUAGCAGUGUGCCCAGAUCACAUCUCCUGAUAAUGGUAGUAUUCUGGUGAUAAUGUCUGUGCUUUAAUGGAAGAGAUUAAUAUUCAUCACUACAAUCCCCAGCCCAGAAGGAGAAGAGGUAGAAGGGCCUUUAUUGGUGUCACUCAGUAUUAUUCUGAGAAUGGCUCUUGAUCAAUAAAAAAUAUGCUGAUUAUACACAUUUUCUUUAGGAAAAAAAAUCGGAUUUGUUCUUGUUGUUGUUGUUAGAUGCCAUCAAGGAGGUUCCAACCCAUAGUUACCCUGUAUACAACAGGACAAAACACUGCCCAAUCCUGCAUCAUCCUCACAAUGGUUGCUAUGUUUGAGCCCGUUGUUGCAGCCACUGUAUCAAUCCAUCUCGCUGAGGGUCUUCCUCUUUUUUGCUGGCCCUCUCCUUUACCAAGCAUAAUGUUAAAUCAUAUUUAACUCACCAGGUUUAUUCAUACACUUGUUGAAGAAAUAUAGAAAGAAAGAAUGUUUCUUCUUAUAUAACCACAGAGACGAAAUCAGAGCCAAAAAAGAACUCAGUAUUUACAAGGUCAAUGUACUAGAUGAUAUGUUGCCAAAAAAGUUCUCAACAUCAGUGUGCAAGAAAAAAUCUUCAACAUUUCAUUGAGCAAAAACAUACAAACUGCUCUCUUGGGAUCUGAUUGUCCUUGAAUAGAGAAAAAAUAUUCCAGGGUAGAAUGAACUGUACUCAGCUUCCUGUCAGCACAAGUUCUUGAGAUACAGGUGUAUAAUACAGUAUCAUUGCCAGUGGGCAGACCUUUCUUGAGGCCCACUACCUGGAGUACCUUAUGUAGGACAAGCCUAUGUAUCUGUGCUGGAAAUGUCAUGGAGUAGGUAGGUAGGAUAUUUUGACUCACUCUACUAAAAAUAUCAUGAUGAUAGAGCUUGCAAGAGAAGAUACUGAGUAGUGAGAACAAAGACAAUGUUCCUAUUCCUCAUGCUUUCUAAAAAGUCAAUACUAGUUCACAUUUCCAAAAAGUUUUCAUAAUCGGAAUGAAAGAAGAAAGCUUCACCAUUACAUUAAGCGAAAAUAUAUCCACCAUUCUUUAGAGAUCUGAUCAUCCUUGAUCAGGGGGAAAAAUUUCAGGGUAGAAUUUUUUAUUUAUCCUGGGAGGCUCUGGUCUCCAACAGUCCUACAGUAAAUUGCAUGUGAGGCUGGGCAGAUACAGGAUGGAAUCAAUAAUUGACCACAGGUUCCACCUUUAGGCAUUUGAAGUUCAUUACCCUGUUGUGUCCUAUAAAGAGGGCAGGAGCACCAGCCUUUCAGACUUCCCUGCAAUUGCUUAUCUGUAUGAGUUUAUAGAAAAUCACAUUCUUAAUACAGUAGUUAGCACUUUUGAACUGGCCUCCUUCUAUUUCUGAUGAGGCUACCACAGGAGAAGAAGCUGGAAGUUUUAAUUCAAAUUCAGGCUAUGUUAUCUCUCCAGCUCCCUUUUUGUUCAUGAUGCUCAAGGACAAUGGGGCUUUGGGAGUGGAAUUAUCUUGGGUGUAGUGAGCUUUGGGAACCCCUUGGUGGUGCACAUGGUUAAUGCAGCUCAGCUGCUAACCAAAUGGUUGGCGGUUCAAGUCCACCCAGAGGUGCCUCAAAAGAAAGGUCUAGUGAUCCAUUUCUGAAAAAUCAGCCAUUGAAAUCCCUAUGGAUACAGUUCUACUCUGAUACACAUAGGGUCCCCAUGAGUCGAAAUCAAUUCAACGGCAAUUGGUCAUGAACUUCACCAGAUCCUUAACUCUUCUUUGAAGCUGAUAUAACCUAAAUUCAUCUUUGGGGUUAUUCAUCCAGCCAACAUUUAAUUAACACUUACUUCAUGCCAAACCUUGCCUAGAUUGUGGGAUACAAAAAAUAAAACAACCAAACCCAUUGCCAUGAAGUGGAUUCUGACUCAUAGUGAUCCUACAGAGUGUAGGAUAGAUACUAUAAAAAGAAAAAGAGAUAAGGACAUGACAGUUUGUUGAGGGGGGCAGCCAUAUAAGGAAACAAGUAUAAGCCAAAACCAAAAAACCAAACCCGUUUCCACUGAGUUGAUUCCGACUCAUAGCGACCCUAUAGGACAGAGUAGAACUGCUCCAUAUAGUUUCCAAGGAGCAGCUGGUGGAUUUGAACAGCUCAUCUUUUGCUUAGCAGCCAAGAUUUUAACCACUGUGCCACCAGGGCUCCUGUACUGUAUUUUAUCUACCUCAGUUCAGAAUUCCAAGGAAAUCCAGAGGAAGAGGGGCACUGUGCAAGUCUUCACUAAAGAGGUGAUGGAAUGGCUAGAUUUUGAAGAUGAGCAGGAGUUUGUCAACCAUAAAAGGAAAAGGCUAUGCUGAUAUUCACGAAAGCGCAAAUUAUAUCAAAGGACCUGGACUGCUCAGAGAAGAGAAGGGAAUUUGUCAGGAUGGACACUGUACAUGGGGAGCAAGAUCUGUGGGUUGGGAAUAGGGGUAGUUGAUGAGGAACAGGCACAGGAAAGGAUGAUUUGGACUGUAUUGUGAACGCUCUGAUGUGCUGAGGAUUUGGGGCUUUUAUUCUUCUAGAAGUGAGGGAGCCACUGAAGUUUUCAUGAUUCAGGGAAAUGUUAUGAUCAAAUCUAUCCUUCAGAGAGAACCCUCUGGCAUUUACAUGGGGGGCAGACCAGAGGUGGAGAGGAGCCAGGGCAAAGAAAAUGAAUUGGAGGUGAUUGCAGUAUUCCCGUCAGAGCUGUUUAGAAUAUUGAAUUGUCAGGCCAUGUAAGUGACUAGGAAACCCUGGUGGCGUAGUGGUUAAGUGCUACAGCUGCUAACCAAAGGGUUGGCAGUUCAAAUCCACAAGGCGCUCCUCGGAAACUCUAUGGGGCAGUUCUACUCCAUCCUCCAGGGUCGCUAUGAGUCAGAAUCGACUCGAUGGCACUGGGUUUGGUUUUUGUUUAGUGAGUGACUAAGGAGGAGCCCUGGUGGCACAGUGGUUAAGAGCUUGGCUGCUAACCAAAUGGUUGCAGUUCAAAUCUGUCAGCUGCUCCUUGGAAACCCUGUGGGACAGGCCUACUCUGUCCUGUAAGGUCCCUAUGAGUUGGAAUCAUCUCGAUGGGUACAGGUUUGGUUUGGUUCUUGUUUGAUGACUAAGAAAGAGAAGACCCCAUUCAUACAUUCAUUCAACAAAUAAUUUGCAGAGCCCCUAUUCCCUGCCAGGAACUGUUCUAGGUGUUGAGGAUACUGAGUUAAAAAAGACAAAGUCCUUACUCUCACAGAGUUUGCAUUGUAGUGAGGUAGACAAAAAGAAAUGUCUACUAACAUACGUUAGGUCAUGAUGUGAUACUAAGUACUACAAAGAAAAAUAAGGUAUGUGGCAGAAGUGACAUUAUGAUUAUGUUCCAUUUAAAUAAAUGACCAGAUCUACUACUACAUUUUGUUUUGUGAUCCAGCAGCCAGAUUUUAGAAAAUUCUGCACAGUAGAGGGUUGCCAAAUAAAAUAUAGGACACUCAGUUAAAUGUGAGUUUCAAAUAAACAGUGAAUAUAUAUGCUAGAAAGGAUGAUUCUAUUCCACUUAAAUUAAAAAAAAUCAUUGUUUACCUGAAAUUAAAAUUUCACUGGGCAUCUUAUGUUUUGAUUUGCUAAAGCUGGCAACCCUAGUGUAAAGCUAUGUCCAAAGCACUCAGCUGCUAACCAAAAGGUCAGUGGUUCAAAUCUACGAGCUGUUUCAUGGGAGAAAGUCGUAGCACUCGGCUUCUGUAAAGAUUUAUAGCCUUGCAAAUUCUAUGGGGCAGUUCUACUCUGUCUUAUAGGGUUCCUGUGAGUUAGAAUAGACUCGAUGGCAACAGGUUUGGUUUUGGGUUUUGGUGUAGGCCUAGGAUUGCUCUGUCUGAUGCUGAGGGUCAUCUCCAAGUUCUGGGCUAUGUUCGUAGGAGUUCUGCCCCCUCCAUAGAGUUAUGUGAAAUGCAAUAUCAUGAAGCAGGAGAAGUUGACCUUCAGGGCCUCACAAUUCCCCUGCCUACAUGAGUUCUCUUCUGGUAGGAGCCAUGCAGAAAUCUCACAUAUGUACCUUCUCCUUCUGGUCAUAUUUGAUCUCACAAAAAAUUAUCCCGUAAAGUCAUUCCUACCAAGAUUAUAAGAAAGUGAUAAGGUUAAUGUGUUACUUCUCUCAUGGAUGUUUAUACUGGAAGUGGAUACCUUCAAAAUAAUUUCUUGUUGUGGAAUUUUAGAAUUUCUCUGAGCAAUUAUCAGAGGUGGUUUUAAGGGUAAGAAUUCUUUUUGUUCUCUUGAAAUUAAGUAUUCAUUGUUUAACUACUAUAUCCUCUUAUUUGUGUGUACAUAAAUCGGAGGUUCAGGUCCCAGAAUUCUGGGGGAUUGUUAGAAGAAAGAAGUUACUGUAAGUUGUUUAAGGCUCUUUAACCCAUGUGUAGAAGGAAAAAAACAAUACAUUUCAGGAGCACCUUCCCUUUGUUAAUGCUCCUUUUGCUAAGUGUUCUUACAUGUCAUCCUUAGAAAAAUUCUAUGAGGUCGGUCAUAGCAUGCCCAGGUUUUAGAUGAAGAAAUCGAAGUUCUGAGCGGUUAAGUGACUUGCCCCAAGCCAGAGAGCUAGUAAAUGGCAGAGCUGUGAUUCAAACUCAGGGUUUUUUGGCUUUGAGGCCAGUGAUGUUUCUGCCAUAUUAUGGUGGCCACUCACCGGCAGCUCCCUCCUUGGGAAGCCCCAGGGUCGCCCUGAAGCUGUUCAGGGUAUAGAUCUAAGGUAUGGUUGUUGGGUAGUAAAUGUCCCGUGGUUAACUGACUCUUGAUUGCAAAGUUUUGAGAAAAAGCAAUAAUGCCAAGUGACUUCAGCUUCCAAGACAGGAAAAUGAUUCAGAAUCAUAUGCUAUCUGGCAACCAAAUUUGGUUGGCUGCGAAUUUUUCUUUUCAAGAAGUUGGGCUCUUUAUCCAUGAGUAAAGCCACUGUGAUGGUAAAUGGACCAUGACACCACUGUUGAGAUCUACUUCUAAAAUGAGGGCUUUGUCAUUGGGCAGUUAAAGGGGAAGUGAAGAAUGACUAUGAUGUAAGGGAACUUCGUCUUUGGUGCCCUCUAACUGACCCUUUAAGGCAGCUUCUUUCUCCAUCCUGUUUUUAGCCCUGAAGGACCUGUUUAACAAGAAUAUUUAGAAAGAAUUUGAGAAAUUGCUCUUCUGUUGUGUUAGCUUAUGCAUGCUCGAAAUGAAAGCUCUCCCUGAUAUAUAAGAAUUUUUAUAGAUGGUAUAUAAAAAAGGAAGAAUUGAAUUUCUAAGGUAGAAUUCUAAUACUAGAGUAGGUCAGUGGGGGAAUUCUUUUUGGGUACAAAACUAAUAGAAGCAGGUUUCUUAGGCUGUACCAGAGAAAAGUAAGUAUAUCAGAAGAGUAAGUGUAAUGUAAUUAUAUACUUUGUAAUGCUAUAUAUUAAGUAUAUUAUCCAAUUAGUAAGUUGAAGGCAGGGCCAUGACUUAAAGGUUGUAGAAAAAUGGUAAAAUCAAAAACAAAUUUUAAGGUUGGGACUUAAAUGCUCCCCUCAAGUCUGGCCUGCUGGCUUCCGCUACUCCCUCGGGUUCAAUAAUUUGCUAGAAUGACUCACAGAACUAAGAAAAUCUCUAUACUUACAGUUACAGUUUUAUUAUAGAAAAAAGAUGCAAUGAAGAGACUCAUGGGGGAGGUCUGGGAAGGUUCUCAAUGGGGACCUUUCAUGCCUCAAAAAGGAAUGUGCUAUUCUCCCACGUGCAUCGAUGUCUGUCACCAACCAGAAAGCCCAUGGAGCUUCAACAUCCAGAGCUUUUAUGAGCCUCAUUACAUAGGCAUGAUUUAUUGAAUCUCUCCUUCCACCAUACUCUGUGUUUGAACUUCAAGCUCCAGGCCCAUCCCCUUGAGGCAGCUGAGAGCACUGGCUUGGCCCACCCCCACCUAAGAAUCAUCUCAUUGGUGUAAUGUGUUAGGCAGGUGUGGCCUAGAGCCUUCAUCAAAGCACUUUAAUAAGUGGGGAAAUUCCCAGGUUUUAGAGGUUAUCUCUUAGGAACCUGGGAAGGAAACCCCUCUGGGUAAAGUUAAUCGUAAACGCAACAGAUGCUAUUUGCAAAAUACCUAAUAUAUGGAUACAUAGGACUUCAGUGCUAUUCUUACACUUCUCUUUUCCUUUCUUGUUUUAAUGGGUAAUUUAUGAAUAAUCUUGCCUAAAUAUAAUAAGUAGAUUAGUUAUGGUUCCUAGAUCAAAGCCAUGCCUUCUAGCAGUGAAAUAAAAAUAAAAAGUCUUGGAAGAUGAGAACAAUGUUCACGCAGUUAUAAAGAUAAAGCUGUGCUUCCAGCGGGAGAGCAAUUUUUACCCUAGUUUGGUCACUCUCUGCUUUCACACUGAGCUAAGAAACAGGCAUAUCAAUCUGGCAUACUUUGGAGGAAAAAAUUCCGUGGGCCUUAAGUCAAUAGCCAAUAGACCAAGCUGUUUAUAGUCCCAAAUUUGAGCUCCCUACAUAAAUUUCAAUUCCUAAGGUCAGGAUCAGUGAGGGCUGAUAUAUAUAGCAAACAAACCUCACUAAGCAUUCUCUUAUUGGCAGCAGAGAUGUAUGACAUAUUAAUAGCAAUGGUGGUAGCCUAUUUCCUGAAUGGAAGAAAUCUGUUUGGAAGUGGAAACUUGGCCAAGGCUCUAACACUUAAAAUCCUGCAACGGCAAAUAAAAAAGAUGGGGUGGGGAGAAGGGGCUGUGCUUGAUAUACUGUAUUAACAGUACUUGGCAGAUUAUUACAAUUAAUGAAACGUGUGCCAAGAUAGUAGAAAUUACUGGGUUUGAGUUUCAUGAAGUUUCUAGCUUGUUAAAUCUGUUUUUAGAUCAGCCAAGAGGCGAUUGCAUGAUAGGAAUCAAAGGCCCAAUCAUGUAGAGCCUCUAGGCUAUUUUGAGGACCUUACUUUUUACUUAAGGAAUCCUGGUGGUGCGAUGGUUAAACACUAGGCUGCUAACCAAAAGCUCAGUGUUUUGAACCCACCAGCUGCUCCACGCAAGAAACUACCUGGUGAUCUUCUCCUGUAAAGAUCAUAGCCUGCAAAACCCUAUGGGGCAGUUCUACUCUGUCAUAUAGGAUAACUAUGAGCUGGAAUUGGCUCAAUGGCACACAACAACAUUUUAUUUGGGAUGAGAUGGAAAGCUUUUGAAUGGUUUUGAGCAGAGGUGUGACAUGGUCAGGCUUAUAUUUUAGCAGGAUCAUUUGGGGCACUGUGUGGAGGAUAACUAUAGGGAACAAGAACUGAAGCAGGAAAUAUAGCUGGGAGGCUCUCGUAACAAUCAGGUUAGCCAUGGUGGGUUCUCAGACCAGGAGGGUGAUGGCAUUUGAUGUAGUAACAGACCCUGAAUUUGUUUUGAAGAUAGAACCAAUAGGAUUUCUAGUCAUACUUAAUGAGAGGGUAAAAGAGGAAUCAAGAAUAACCACAAGGUUCUGCCUUGAGUAACUCAAUGUAGUACAUUGCCAUUGUCUAAGAUGAGGAAGUCUGUGGAGGGGCAGGGUUUAGAGGGGAGGGUUCGGGGAGUAAGGACUUUGGUUUUAGUCAUUUUAAGUUUGAGAUGCUUACUAAACAAUUAGGCAGUUGUAGCUGGGGAUCAAGGGAUGGAGAGAUAAGUUUGAGAAUCAGUGAAAUAAGUCAUGAAACUGGAUGAGAUCACCCAAAGAAUGAAACAAGGUCCAGGACUGAGCCUUUGGGUCCUCCAGAAUUAGAUUAAGAGGGCCCCCCCAGGAGACUGGAAACAAGUAGCCAGUGGGAAGAAGAACCAAGAGGAGUUUCACCCUAGAAAUCAAGUGAAUAAAGUGGUCAAAAAGGAGGGAGUGAUCAAUUGCGUACGGUAGAAACAGGCUUGCCCUUCACGUUUGCAGGACCCAAAACAAUGGUACAACUAGAAGUCCACACACCUUAUAAUUUAAAUCAAGAAUAAAAACAAAACAAAACAAAAAAACCAAACCAGUUGCCAUUGCGUCCAGUCUGACGAAUAGUGACUUCAUCUGUUACAGAGUAGAACUGGACUCCAUAGGGUUUUCUUGGCUGUGACUUUUUGGAAGCAGAUCACCAGGCCUUUCUUCCAAGGUGCCUCUGAUUGAGUUCAAACCACCAACCUGUUGGCUAGUAGUCAAGCACUUAACUGUUUGCUCCACCUAGGUACUCCACAUAAAUCAAGAUAGCAAAUAGCAAACAUCUUGUCACCUUGAGGCAGUAAGCAUGAGAAAAAGGACAAGAGAAUAGCUGAACCAUCGGCUCUGGUGUAGUCUAGCCACCCCCAAAAUUAGGCAAGAGAAGAGAAAGAGCAGUCCCCAUCUUCCCAUCAUCGCACAGAGAAAGAUGCUGGGCCUGGACAACCUCUUGAACAUGCAGUGUAGUUCUAUUCCCCUUCUUAUAGUCAAGCAUUGAGAAUAGCCUUGUCAGUGGAAUAACACACAGGCUGCCUGGCUUUGGGGGUACCAGGGCCUUACAGGAGUUGUCUGGGAACAUGAGCUGCCUUUAGGUCCAUGAGAUAUUGCCUUUCUCUCUACUGGGAGGAGAAGCCAUGAGUCCUGUUGGGUGUGUCAAAGUUGAAGCACACCUCCUCCUUCUGAGAGAAGAGGGAUCCCCAGUUCCAGAUACUACGUUGUCUAGUGUGAGCUCCCAGAGUCACUUCUGAACAAUUUUGAAGUUGUACUAUAGGUUUUCUCUUACUUGCAGCUGAAUGAACCUUCAUUGAUUCACUGGUAUUCAAUAAAAAAACAAUAUUCAUUAAAUGACUGAAUAAUAAAACAGUAUCAUGGCAUAAUAUAUAUAUAGCCAUUUAAAAUAGUAAAUCUGAAUUAUAAAUAAUUAUGUAUUUAUUACGAUUUUAUAAAUGCAUGUAUGUGUGUUUAUAUGUAAAUAUAUACGUGUAUGUAUAGUUGGAACAUGUCUAGAAUAUAUGUGCAUAUAUGCAUAGAGAAAUCUCAGAGAGUUUACAAAAUAUUUUAGAGUAGUGAUUAUCUUUGGGUUAUAUGAUUUUUCUGAUGACUUUUAUUUUCUUAUCACCUUUUUUGGUUUGAUUUUUUACAAGGUCAUACAUAAUUUUUAUGAUCAGAAAAAAAUAGAAGUUUUAAGAAGAAAACAAAUGGCAUGUAGUUGUUUAUCGUUAUACACGAGUUCACCUACUAUAAAGAUCAAAUGAAUCUAUUUUUCUCUAUAUUUUUUGAAAAAAUAAUUCUAAAAUAUAUAUUUAUAACUAUGUUAUGUUCCUUGACCAAAUUGAUAUUGAUUUUAACACAGUGUUUCUUUUUUUGUUGUCAUCAUUCCAUAGAUAUAUUUUUCCUAAUUGUCCUUGUGCCCCUGCCAUGAAAUUUUGAUACUGUAAAUAUACUGAAUAUCUGUUUAUAUACUGUGGCUUUUUGCAGGCCACAGACUAUUGUAAUAGCUAAGAUAUUUUUGUCCCCCAACAACCAAUUUUUACCUCCCUAGGGGCAAUACUGACCCCAUUCAGAAUGUAUGACAUAAGGUAUAAGCAUUUCAGUUCCUUGUAGUUUAAAAAUGUACUCAAUAAUCGUGAGUGUAAUUGCUUUUUAUUCUCCAUACCUCUCUUCCUCCCUUUUCACUUAGCAAAUAUUUGAAUGUUUAUUGAACAACUGAACACUAAAAUAUUAGUUCAGAGUCUUAAUCUGAAAGGUAGAGUAGGGUCACGUCUUCAUAUCACCAUCUGUUCAUCCCAAAUUCCAACUUCUGUAGCCUGUAGAGGUCACCCUUUCAUGUAAUUCCCCAAAUUCUUAUUCCAAGGCCCUCUUCCAAGUUCUCAUCCAAGGUUCUCCCUGUCAGCGCUCAUUAAAUGCUGCAGGAAGUACUUACUUGUUUCACAAAUCCAUUGAGAUUUGUGCUUGCCAGGGCCAUUUCUGAUGUCUGCUCUGGAUACCUAUACUCUCUUCAUCCUGCUGCCUCCUAAUAGUGUCUCCAUGCUGCUGCCCCCUCACCCUCACCCCAUGUUAUUGUUGUUGUUAGGUCGCGUGGAGUCAAUUUUGACUAAUAUUGACCUUAAGUACAAGAGAAUGAAAUACUGCCCGGUUCUGCGCCAUCUUCACAAUCAUUGCUGUGUUGCAGCCCAUUUUGCAGCCACUGUGUCAAUCCAUCUCUUUGAGGGUCUUCCUCUUUUUUGCUGACCCUAUACCUUAUCCAACCUUAAUUCCCAAUGCUCACUUAACACUAGACUGUGAUCUUAAUAUAUGGCUUUUAUUAAGGCUUGGGGGCAAGCCAGGGAUUCAAAUGAAGAGAAGAACUUAACAUUGUCUCAGCAAUCACAGCUCCUAGGGUUCUCCAAAGAGUGCCCCCUACUGACUGUGACCCCUUAGGCUCUCAUGUUGCCAGGGAGCAGUUUCUCUUCCCCAAACCCAGGAAUCCCCUUUAGAUUUCCUCUUCUUUCCCUUUCUCCCUCUGGGCCACUCCAGAAACCCAAAGUUUUCUUUCACUAACCUAAUCCAAAGGAAGGAAAGCAUCAACACAAACAGCCAAAAACAAACAAACCAGACCAAACAAACAAUUCAAAGUUAUCCCCUCUACUAAUGACUGUCUUUUAUAUCGAUGCACAGAGGGGUUAAGGAUUUAGUCUGAAACAUCUACAUUUAGAGACAUCAUUUUUACUAAACUUUCCAGGGAACAAAAUGUUCAUUUUUAUUCUCUCUGUGUUUUGUUCAUUAAACAAAUGUUUAAUGAGAGUCUACUGUGUGCCAGGUACUACCAAGCAUUUGGGAUACCGUGAUAAACAAUGCAGAUACAUUCUCUGCCCACAAGGAACUUACAGUCUUACGAAUAAAAGACUCACCACACUAAUCCCUUCCAGACAAAUUAGACAGUCUGUCCCAAGAAGCUAGUCCAGUUUCUGUACUAAAAAUGCAGAAAAUACCAUCUUCUUAAUAGACGGUUUUCCAGCUCAUGUUCAGGUCCAGACAUCCUCUCUAGCAAUAGAAAAUGGUGCACCGCUAUAUUACCAGUGAAGAAUAUUUGUGGGGGUAAAUCUCUGAAUCGUGUCAGUAAUAACAGUCUAGUGAAGUGGUUUUCCAACCAAAGGUCCAAAGACAGUCUCCGAUCAAAACUACUUGGGAGUUUAAAAUCUCUCUUCUUUCUCUUUCAUACACACACAUGUGCACACACACACACGUCACGUGCAUACACACACGCGCACACACACACCCUGGAGAUUUAGAAAAGAGAGGAUUCAGAUAAAGUGACCAUUCUUUCCCAAGUACAAAAACUUGCUUGUCUUCCCCAGACCAUGCAUACACUAGGCAUGGUAGAGGUAAUUUUCCUUCUUUCACCAAAAAAAAAAAAAAAAAAAAGACCCGGGAAA